UUUUUUUUUUUUUUUCCGUUUUCUUGUCCUUUUCCCUUUCUAUUUUCCUAUUCCUCUCAAAUGAGGAUUCAUAAGUUUGAGGGUUUGCUGGGUCUGCUUUCUAAGGGAAGAAAACUCCGUCGUAAUUUAUUUUGGUUUUGUGUAAAAAAUAUCGAGAUGCACUUGAGAUGUUUGAAAAUUUUGAACUGGAAGGUGGUUUUUACGUUGGUAGCUUCAGAUCCCUCCAUCGUCUCAAGUUUGUGACUUCGUCCCAAGCUUCACUGCUUGUGACUCGGCACCGGCCAAACGUGACUCCGCAAGUUCGAGAUCUGCCGCCCGUGUCUCUGCCCCAAGGUCCACCACAAUGUGACUCCGCUGCAAGCUGCCAAAUCAUGAGAAUGGUGCAUGCACUCAGACAUAUGAAGUCCUUGUGGGGAUAUUGAAUGGAAUAUGGAUUGGAUUUCAUGGCUUUUUAUGCAUCCUCCAAAACUUGCCUGGCUUUAAAGUCUCAUUUGAGCAUAUAAUGCUUAAACUAAAGGCAUUGAUCUUCUUAAUAAACAUUGGAUAACUAUUUUCAGGAUAUGGCAUGACUCAUUAGCAAAAUUAAUCGCUCAUCCAUUGGUCCCUUGCCAUCUUGCUAUUCUCCAUCCCUGAAAACACUUAUUAAGAGCAUGUUGCGAAAGAAUUCAGAGCAUAUAGGCCAAAUGUUACCUUUUUCUCAUAUUUACAGUUUACGGACUUUAAGAUUUUCAUAUUAG